UAGGGAAUCUUCCGCAAUGGACGCAAGUCUGACGGAGCAACGCCGCGUGAGUGAAGAAGGAUUUCGGUUCGUAAAGCUCUGUUGUUAGAGAAGAACAGCGCAUAGAGUAACUGUUAUGCGUGUGACGGUAUCUAACCAGAAAGCCACGGCUAACUACGUGCCAGCAGCCGCGGUAAUACGUAGGUGGCAAGCGUUGUCCGGAUUUAUUGGGCGUAAAGCGAGCGCAGGCGGUCAAUUAAGUCUGAUGUGAAAGCCCCCGGCUCAACCGGGGAGGGUCAUUGGAAACUGGUUGACUUGAGUGCAGAAGAGGAGAGUGGAAUUCCAUGUGUAGCGGUGAAAUGCGUAGAUAUAUGGAGGAACACCAGUGGCGAAGGCGACUCUCUGGUCUGUAACUGACGCUGAGGCUCGAAAGCGUGGGUAGCAAACAGG
rnacentral:rRNA from 1 species